UAAGCGCUGCUGGGGCAUUCUGGGAUACUGGCGGACUCAUUCAACAGUCUGUGAUGGCGACCAACAUCGAGCAGAUUUUCAGGGAUUUCGUCGUGAAUAAAAUGAAAGAAAUCGCAGAUGAAACUGAAGAUAACAGUCGGAUAGAUGAGCCUCAUUCCGAACCUGCCGCAGAGUCCAGACAGGAUGGACUUGAAACAGAACAAUUGAAAACACCAACAGCUGCAGAUAAAGACACGUGCAAUGACCUCCAGGAUGACUGCGGUAUAGAGGCCAACAGCACCAAACACAAAAAAAACAAGAAGCACAAAAAACACAAAAGUAAAAAGAAGAAAAAACGCAAGGAAGAAAAAGAAUGCAGCACAGAGGCGCAGUCCGACAAAGAGACUCAAGACAGUGGAAAGAAAAAGAAGAAGAGAAAGAAAAAGAAAAAAUCCAAAGAGGCUGAUAAAGCGAAACGGUCUGGCUCACGAUCAAGCUCUUCUGCAUCUGGGUCAGAAUCUGUGUCUGAAUCAAAACCUUCCAGUAAAAAUGCAAAGUUUUCAUCAGCAGAUAAGACCUCCAAGUCAGAGCUCAAGAGUGCAGCUGGUCUUGGUACAUCUCCAUUACCUGACAUUAUUCCCGUGAUGGAGAAUUUGGUCCACACCAGUGCCAAAGACAAGAAAAGAAGCUCCAGCAGGUCAUCCAAAAGAGAGGAGAGCUCUAAAGGAAGACGAACCAGAUCAAGAUCACCCAGACAGAAGUCAAGACACAGAUCAAGAUCCAGAUCUUCCAAACGGCAUCAGCGAUCAACAUCCCGCUCUAGAAAUAGAAAGAGGCUUCAUCUACAGAGAGAGAAAAGUAGAUCACCCUCUUGGAGAUGGAACAAUCGAUCCAGAUCUCGCUCGGUUAAAAGACGCAGAUAUUCACGAUCCAGGUCGCAUUCUAGGCGAAGUCGAUCAAGGUCUGGUUUAACCUCGAGAAAGAACAGAAGGUCCGCAUCAAAGUCUAGGUCUCGUUCCAGGAGUAGAUCUAGAAGUAGAACUAAACGUUCUAAAUCAAGAUCUAAAUCAAAAUCUGUUUUUAAAGACAAGGAGAAGGAAAUUGAGCCAGCUGAGAAUAAGGCAGUUCAAACAGUGGAUAAUAGUGAAACUUCUGCAAUGCAAACAGAUGUUACUCAAAAAACAACUGAGAAUGUGAAAAGUCCAACAGUGGCUGUGAACUUAGACACCAAGCUGCCUGAGACUGUUGUAAAUUCUGCUCCAAAAGCGCCCGUUGUCACAGGAUCUUGGCGACCCAUUCCCUUCUUGGGAGAGUCAUCUGAGAACCAAUUUUGCCAGAAGUGCAUUACACCUUCGGAAGCGACCAAAGAACCUGCAGACACUUCAACAGAUAGACCUAAAGAUUCAGAGUGUGUCUUAAACCCGGAAGAGAAAGAAACUCCUGCAAGUUCAAAACCAGAAAUACAGACUUCCACAGAGAUUGAUUCAAAGUCACCUUCCAAAUCUCCCAGUCAACAACGAUCCUCGAAAUCCAAAUUACCUGCAAGAUCCAGAUCAAAGUCAAGACUAAAAAAAUCCAGGUCAUCCUCACGGAACGAUGACAUGAAGUCAAAGUCUAGAUCACCCUCAGAAAAAAAGAAAUACAAGUCCAAAGCAAAGCACAAACGUUCAAAAUCUAAAUCGCCUAAAAAGAGAAGGUCCCGGUCUCGAUCGCCUGGCCGACGGAGGAGGUCCAGAACUCCGGACAGAAGCAGACGGUCCAAAUCGAGGCGGAGGUCACGCUCGCGUUCAAAGAGGAGGUCUCGGUCUGGCUCGCGCUGGAGGAGAGGUUUCGGGAGUCGAUCGCUAAAUCAGAGGGACAGAUGGAAACGAGAACCCAGCCGCUCUCCGGUUCUCAUUCUCCGGAAGAAAAGAUCAACAUCAAGAACUCGGCGUAGCACCAGCAAGACACCGCCGCGGCUUACAGAGCUCGAUAAGGAACAGCUGUUAGAAAUCGCCAAGGCUAAUGCGGCAGCUAUGUGUGCCAAGGCAGGGGUGCCCAUCCCAGAGAGCCUCAGACCUAAAAAUAUUCUCCAACUACCUUUGUCAAACCCAAAUUCUACUUUAGCUUUGUCUGGUUCCCUCGCUUUGGGGGUCCCUUUAAUGACGAUGAACGUUGCCAUGGCUAGCAUGACUGCGGCCACCAUGACUGCUGCUUUGUCCAGUAUUGGGGCACUGGCGUCCAUGCCACAGUUAGCCCCGUUACCGACAAUCGUCAACAAGCCCCCCUCUUCAUCCACAUCCAACCUAGCCAGUAUUGAGGAGGCAAAAAGGAAAGUAACAAAGCAGGCUAACAACUUUAGCAUUAAAGAGCUAACAGAGAGAUGCAAGAAGAUCACUGAGAGUAAGGAGGAGAUGGCCAUUGCGAAACCCCACGUGUCCGAUGAUGAAGACGAUGAGCAGACGUUUGGGGCAGGAGCACUUAAGGAGACUAAGGGCAUUGCUUUCAGUAUUGGUAAUACCUCGGUGAAACCAGGCGUCCGAACCGAAGCCACAUUUGCUAAGGAGUUUCCAGUGUCCUCAGGCUCCCAGCACAGGAAGAAGGAGGCCGAUGGUGCUUACGGGGAAUGGGUGCCGGUCGAAAAAAAGAAGACGGAAAAGCCAUCUGCCUCGGGUUCAGCUGGGACUGAGGAAUCCAGCAAGGAGAAUGAUAGCGUCUUUCCUGAAGCACCUUCUCAACCGGUGGACAUCACGUUGGCUGUCAGCGACCGUGCAGUUGCUCAGAAGAGGCUGGCAGAGAAUCCUUUCGACAUCAAUGCUAUGUGUAUGCUCAACCGGGCUCAGGAGCAAGUGGACGCAUGGGCCCAGUCCAACACAAUUCCAGGCCUCUUCACAGGCUCAACAGGUGCUCAGGUGCUGUCAUCUGAAGAGCUGUCUAACAGCGGCCUACAGGCUUGGAUCAAGAAGGUAAAGCCACGAGUCAGCGCCACCACUCUUAAAAUAAUGUCUCUGACGGUUUGUGCUUUGCAUUAUGCCCCGGUUUCACAGACAAGGUUUAAGACUAGUCCCAGACUAAAAUGAAUUUUGAGCUGUCUCAACUGAAAAUACAUUGCCCUGGCAUAUCUUAAAAUACGUCAGUGCCAUUGUUUUGUCUCAAGAUACACACCAGUAAUGUUUUUUUUUUGAAGGCAUUUUAAUAAAAGCGACUUAAAUAGCCUAAAUUAACUAAGGCAUAGUCCUGGCUUAGGCUAAGCCUUGUCUAUGAAACCGGGCCUAUAUGUGCUUAAAAUCUGCCAAAACUCUUAAGCCGAAAUGCAGGUUGGCCUAGUACAGUCAGACAACACAAGCAUAUGUAGAAUUCUUUCUUUUUUUAAUUUCCUUUGGGCUAAAUUUAGAUUUAUUCUCUUCUCUUUACAUUUUAACUUCUGAAAACCAACCUGCCCGAAGAGACCAAGGUAGAUCUUAAUAUAACACCAUCUUGCUCAAAUAUCCGUCCCCUCCUAUCUGUAUUUAUAAAGUCUUAAAAGAUUUAAGAUUUAGGAAUUGUCAUCUGUGUCAUACUUGCCAAUUGGUGUACCCACUUCACAAUUAAAAUCAUUCCGAGUUGUUGAUCAGACCAACAUCCAGUCACACGAGGCACGAUGUAAUAAGCAUCGAUCGGUCAGUAAGGAUGAGGUCAGAGUUUCCAUGGAAACCUUUUUGUCAAAAGAUGGCUCAGAGCUCAGUGGUUACUGACGUCCAGUGUUGGGGAAGCUACUUUUUUUUAUGUGAUGUGAUACACAUGUGUUAUUGACUAAUGUUUUAAAUAAAUAUAGAAGUUUAAAACAAUUUAAUACAAUACCAUUAUCAUGGUAUUGUUUAUUUAUUAUUUUCAUUACAUAAUAUUCAUAUUUAAUACUUAAUAGGAUGGGUGUUUCGAACUUUAAAUGUUUACCCACUCAUGUAUGUCCUUUACGAUCUCUUCUCAGUAAAGCGUAAAGCCGCAAUACAUAGUUACUGCAGUAGGUGGCGAUAAUGAAUGACUUCAGUUUGUGAUAUAGUAAUAAAACGACGUGACACAGCACUGGUCUGAACACAGAACAGAAUGUAGCUUUGGUCACGCUACACCGCUACUUAAUUAAAAAAGUAAUUAAUUACUGGAAAAGCUACACUGUUUUAAAAGUAUUUGAGCUACCGCCAAGCUACUAAAAAUGUAGUUAAGUUAGUAGCGUCGCUACUUGUAGUUAGCUACUCCCCAACACUGCUGACGUCAUAAGGGGGAAAAUCUUUUUGUCUUCUCAUUUUAAAUGCAAAUAUUUGAAGUGUCUGAUUAAAAUAAAAUGUGCACCAUCAGUCGAGCGGGUACACCACUUGCGCAUGUCACGCAGAUGUUUUCAAUUUUAAAUUCUGUUGUAGCAGAUGCUUUUUUGGAUGGGCACCUCACUGUUCUCAUCAGUAAAGUGUCUUUUGAGAGAGUAACAUGGAAUGAGAGGCGGAAGGAGCGUGUGAAGUAAGUCUUUGACCUGAAAAAAGUGCUAGACUCUCAAAUCUGAUUGGAUGAGCCCUUUCAAAGCACCUGUCAUAAUCUUUUGAACGUUGGCGUUUAUAUUUGGUGCAGGUUGUGCAUUACAGUGAUUUUUGUUUUUGGCGUGGUUCUCCUUGCAACAACCCUUUAGCAAAAUCACUGCAAUACAUGGCCUUUCAUGACCUUCCAACCAGAUGUGUGUACGUGUUUCUGAUGGGUCUCUCUAUUUUAGUCAAGAAACGAAUUGUCCCGAAGGCUUUGGAUGCUGACCACUGUGUAAUGCAAACCUGAUCCUUACAUACAGACCAGAUAAUCCCGCGUCUUUAUAUAAACCUUUUGAUCCAAAUUCAAUGGUGCUAAAAUACCGUGAGCUGUGUUGAGGGAGUCUAUGGGGUCCACGAAACCAAAAACAGUUUCCAGCGUAUCCAAAAUGACCUGCUUUGCAUAGAUACAGCGUACAGUACUUUUAGAACAACAGAAAGAUAAAGUUAGACAUGAUGCCUCAACGUGGGAUACUUUAAGAGUUUCUUCUUAACUCGAGGGAUGGGUUUAAAAUGGUUCAAAUUCUGUAAUACUACUGUGACUUGCUUGAUGCACUUAAACGUGAUCAAGUAAGUCCCAGUUUACUGUCCAAAAAUGAUAUGUGACUUUUGACUACCCAACCUAUAUUUGACUGCAAACAAAACAAGGUUGGCUUCAAUCAGGAUCAAAGAUUCAGUGGGGCAUCCAUUGCCAGUGGCUACAAGGUUCCAAACCUCAAGCUUGUCUCUCUGGCCUUGGAGCCGGAGGGGUUGAUGGGGUUGGGUCACGGAUGGAAGAGGGGCGGGGGCUCACAGUCUGACCUGUGAACUCUCACCCCUCUGUAUGGAAACUUGUUGCAGGGUCAGUCCUUGUAGCUGCCUUGUUGCCAUGGUCACAGUCAGGCCCCUUCUAUUCACGUCAGAUCCUCGGGGGCCGAUGAUGGGGGCCUAGGUACGUACGUCAUCCAGCACCCUUCCUUCAAUUCAUGUGGAUUUGUGUGAACUGAUGAUUUCUGCUAUGUGCUCCUGUUUGUUUCGACUGAACCGACUCAGAACCUGAGUUCUCGUCAGGACGGUAUUGAAGGCCUAAAAUGUAUAAUACUUGUCAGUCCUUUAGUCUGCUUUAGGAUCAGUUCCUGCGGGCAGCACCCGUCUCAGGCGGGAUGGGCGAGCUUCUCAUGAGGAAGAUGGGAUGGCGUGCCGGGGAAGGUUUGGGGAAGCACAGGGAAGGCACGGUGG